GGCUGGUUCAAGUGUAGUGGUGUACAUAACAAAUUGGUCAAACCAAUUACAGAUUUAUUUGUUCCUUCUCCACUCCCACUGCUUCAGUUGACUCUUAA
rnacentral:Y_RNA from 1 species